rnacentral:rRNA from 1 species
GAUGAACGCUGGCGGCGUGCCUAAUACAUGCAAGUCGAGCGAACAGACGAGGAGCUUGCUCCUCUGACGUUAGCGGCGGACGGGUGAGUAACACGUGGAUAACCUACCUAUAAGACUGGGAUAACUUCGGGAAACCGGAGCUAAUACCGGAUAAUAUAUUGAACCGCAUGGUUCAAUAGUGAAAGACGGUUUUGCUGUCAAUUAUAGAUGGAUCCGCGCCGCAUUAGCUAGUUGGUAAGGUAAAGGCUUACCAAGGCAACGAUGCGUAGCCGACCUGCGAGGGGGAUCGGCCAGACUGGGACUGAGACAAGGCCCAGACUCCUGCGGGAGGCAGCAGUAGGGAAUCUUCCGCAAUGGGCGAAAGCCUGACGGAGCAACGCAGCGCGAGUGAUGAAGGUCUUCGGAUCGUAAAACUCUGUUAUUAGGGAAGAACAAAUGUGUAAGUAACUAUGCACGUCUUGACGGUACCUAAUCAGAAAGCCACGGCUAACUACGAG